rnacentral:rRNA from 1 species
AACUAACGCUGGCGGCGUGCCUAACACAUGCAAGUCGUACGAGAAAGUUGGCUUCGGCCGAUGAGUAAAGUGGCGCACGGGUGAGUAACGCGUGGAUAAUCUACCUUUUAGUUUGGAAUAACGUACCGAAAGGUGCGCUAAUACCGGAUAAUACUGAGUGACUACUGUUGCUUAGUCGAAGAAGGCUUCUGUUUACAUGCUUUUGCUGAAAGAUGAGUCCGCGUACCAUUAGCUAGUUGGUAGGGUAAUGGCCUACCAAGGCUACGAUGGUUAGCUGGUCUGAGAGGAUGAUCAGCCACACUGGAACUGAGACACGGUCCAGACUCCUACGGGAGGCAGCAGUGAGGAAUAUUGCGCAAUGGGGGCAACCCUGACGCAGCAACGCCGCGUGAGUGAGGAAGGUUUUCGGACCGUAAAGCUCUGUCGAGCGGGAAGAAAUGCAUGGUGGCUAAUAUCCAUCAUGCUUGACGGUACCGCUAAAGGAAGCACCGGCUAACUCCGUG